GUAGGUGGCAAGCGUUGUCCGGAAUUAUUGGGCGUAAAGCGCGCGCAGGCGGGUUCUUUAAGUCUGAUGUGAAAGCCCACGGGCUCAACCGUGGAGGGUCAUUGGAAACUGGAGAACUUGAGUACAGAAGAGGAAAGCGGAAUUCCACGUGUAGCGGUGAAAUGCGUAGAGAUGUGGAGGAACACCAGUGGCGAAGGCGGCUUUCUGGUCUGUAACUGACGCCGAGGCGCGAAAGCGUGGGGAGCAAACAGGAUUAGAUACCCUGGUAGUCCACGCCGUAAACGAUGAGUGCUAAGUGUUAGGGGGUUUCCGCCCCUUAGUGCCGCAGCUAACGCAUUAAGCACUCCGCCUGGGGAGUACGGCCGCAAAGGCUG
rnacentral:rRNA from 1 species